rnacentral:rRNA from 1 species
CCCUUAGAUGUUCUGGGCCACACGCGCGCUACACUGACGAAUGCAACGAGCUUAUAACCUUGGCCGAAAGGUCUGGGUAAUCUCCAAAUUUCGUCGUGAUGGGGAUAGAUUAUUGCAAUUAUUAAUCUUCAACGAGGAAUGCCUAGUAAGCGCAAGUCAUCAGCUUGCAUUGAUUACGUCCCUGCCCUUUGUACACACCGCCCGUCGCACCUACCGAUUGAAUGGUCCGGUGAAUCUUUAGGACUGUGGCUGAGGCCUUGCCUUGUGCGGGUCUGGCCGUGGGAAUUUAGUUAAACCUUACCAUUUAGAGGAAGGUGAAGUCGUANCA